UACAGAGGGGGCAAGCGUUGUUCGGAAUUACUGGGCGUAAAGGGCGCGUAGGUGGCCUUCUAAGUUGAACGUGAAAUCCCCGGGCUCAACCCGGGAACUGCGUCCGAUACUGGCAGGCUUGAAUUCGGGAGAGGGAUGCGGAAUUCCAGGUGUAGCGGUGAAAUGCGUAGAUAUCUGGAGGAACACCGGUGGCGAAGGCGGCAUCCUGGACCGAGAUUGACGCUGAUGCGCGAAAGCCAGGGGAGCAAACGGG
rnacentral:rRNA from 1 species